rnacentral:rRNA from 1 species
UACGAGGGGGGCAAAUGCUGUUCGGAAUCACUGGGCGUAAAGGGAGCGUAGGCGGGUUUCUAAGUCAGGUGUUUAAUCCCGGGGCCCAACCCCGGACAGGCACUUGAAACUGGGAAUCUUGAAUAGUGGAGAGGUCAGUGGAAUUGGGGGUGUAGCGGUGGAAUGCGUAGAGAUCCCCAAGAACACCAGUUGCGAAGGCGGCUGACUGGACACAUAUUGACGCUGAGGCUCGAAAGCAUGGGGAGCAAACAGG